ACGCAGGGAGAGGCCAGGGAUCGCGGAAAGGGUAUCGCCUCGGGCUAGCGUGCUUACCGAGGGAUCGUUCGAUAGGUGGUCUACCUCUCGUGUUAUAUGCUUGUGAGAGGUUGAGAGUUGUACCGUAUAUGUAUAGAGACCACCAUUUUUGUACUAGAGACAGAUAUUGUACUACUUAUGAUUUCCUUUAUUGUCUAUCCUUAUCUCUUUACUUUGGUGUAGAUGUUAGAACUAUAUUUGCUCUGAUAUCAUUAGUUGCUGGUUAUUUCCCUUCUUUUAUUUGUUCUAUUUCUUGCUUUUCUUCCGCUUUUAUUGUAGACGCCUUAUAUGUGUAGACAUAUGGCGGGUCUGGGCACGCUACCGGGAGGGCCUCCGCCGGUCCCGGGGCGUGACACCUCACCUCUUCAAUCGCUCUCUACGCUUCGUCAUCUCCCUCCUCAAAACCCUAAUAACUAGAUAGGGAGAGGAGAGCAAGAGGAGGAGAUGCUUCUCUCAACAGAUGCAUCAUUUCUUUCAAUUUCAUUACCAUAUUGAUAAGUGCUUUUAAAAUUUGCUCAUUCAUUUUUGUGUUGCUACAUUUACUUUUUAAAGGCAUAGAUCUCAGUUUAGGGUUUUGAGGUUGUGAAAUUGGGGGCGGGAUUUGUAGAUAUUGUUUGCAUUUCUUUUUCUUUUUUUAUGCAGCAAUAUCAUUGGCAUGGUUGGUCUUUUUAAGAAGAUUAAUUUUUGAGUGAAGAUGGAUUAAAAACGUGAGAAAAAUUACAUUUUUGUUUUAUUAGCAUGCUUUAAUUAAGCAGUUUGUGUACUUAAAAGCUUUUGCUUAUUGUGUAUCGUGAUUUUGUUUUAUAAAGUUUUGGGAAGGUUAGAGAGGUCAUGCGAUAAUUCACGCCGGGAAUGGGUCGACAUUGUAGGUUUUUGAUGGUCACACCUGAGAAUUUGGGUUUGUUUGAUUUUUUUUAUUGUCUUGGUUAAUCUAGCUUUUCCAUAUUUAUAUAUGCAAGGCUUGAUUUUGAUGUGAUCUCAUAUUAGGAUGUAGUUUUUUGUCCAUCUGACUCUGUGAAAGCGAACUAUUUAGAAAGUCUAAUCAUUGUUAGGGUUCAAAGUACUGAGAAUUAGUUUAGAUUUCUGAUUUUUAGAGCAGCAAUCAUUUUGCCUCUUUUAGAAUAGGCCAAUUUGCAUAAAAAAUCCACUUAUUUUGGGCUUUUGCAAAAUCGGGCAAUUUUUUUGGUUUUUGCAGAUUCGGUCCGCUUUUUUAGCAAACUGACCAAAAUACCCUUAUACCUUUUUCUCUUUCCUCUUUCUCUCUCCUCUUUUUUUUUCUCUCGUUCUUUUUUCUUUUUCUUCCCAAAGAGCGGCGAAGACGGAGCGGAGGUGCCCUUAUACCUUUUCUUUUCUCUUUUUUCUCUCGUUCUUUUUUUCUUUCUCUUCCCAGAGAGCGGCGAAGAUAGAGCGGCGUCGCCGUCGGCGCCCCCACCUUCCUCGCCUCCGAUCCCCCCAAGGCCGGGCUGUGACUUUUUUUUUUUUGCAUUUUUCUUUUCUUUUCUUCUCUGACUCUCCUCCACAGUUUCCGACGACGGCGCCUCUCUCGCUCUUCCCUGCCCUUCUCAUCUCUCCUUCUCCCUCCUUCUCUGCUGCCUCCGACGACGAUGCAUCUUCGCCGACACCGACGCCGACACCGUGGAGAUCACUGCGGCGCUGCAGCCUCGGAGUGGGGGGUCUUUAACGGCGUCGUCACUGA
rnacentral:lncRNA from 1 species